UGGUGGAAGAGCUCUCAUGGAGGUGCUCGUGCGGGUCCUCAACUGAUAGGUUUGGUGUGACAUGGCACCUUGAUAUCCUGACCUUAACGACACAAGAGACCCUUGGGCACAGCCAGCUUGGCAACAUCCGGGAAAGUUCAUGUUUGCAGCUGCAGCACCGCCCUCGCGUCCUCGUCCUGUGGCUGUACAUACGGGCAUAUGGUACUUGGUUUGGUGCAGGUGCAGCCCAGGGUUUUGGAAAAGAGAUAUCUCGAUUCCUAUUUACCAACUUUUCCGUUUUGGAGCUGGAUAUAAGGACAUAAGGGCAUGUUUAUGGCGCAAUGGUAUUGCACCUACUUGGGUUUUGCACCUUUAUACAAAGGCUUAAGUUGGCGAACUACGAAACUAUGAGGAGCUUGAAGUGUGCUCCGUAAAUUGCCGUUGUGAUCAGCCUAACAACUGGGAGAAGUCAAAGUACCUCCUUGACUGAACUUAAAAACGUAGAAAUCCAAGGCUUCAUAGGAGAAGAUCACGAGGUUGAUUUACUGAAAAUACUAUUCAGAUGUGCACCAAUGCUUGAACGAGUGACUCUGAGAUUAUCCAGCAUCGUCUCACAAAGUGGCAAUGCAUACAUGGAAAUUUGUAGUGUUUUAAAAGCAUAUCCUUCUGCGGAAUGCAAUGUUCAUCGCACAUUGAGGAGCAAGUUUUGUAGGUAUGAUUAGGAUACUCAUAGAUGUAACAGGAUAUGGUAUGCCGUAUGUUUUAGCCUAAUAUCGUGAAACUGAAACUUAUCCUUUUAUCUUUGUUAUGUUUUCCCAUGUAGGUUUUUGAAUAUGAGUUGCGAACUUAUGAUAGCUCUAUGAGCAUGUUGUGUUGAUUCCACAUAAUGGUGGUGGCUGUAAUGUUAUUAUUAAAUUAUUCAUACUAGCAAUGCUGAUAUGCUAUACUAAUGGUCU